UAAAAGGGAUUAAACUACACAGAUAUAAGGUUUGAUGUAUUUCCUUAAAAGAUGAGAACUUACUACCAGAAACAUGUAAUAUAUUAAUAGCCUCAUUAUGGAGGUGAGAUUCUCUCUUUAGCAGAACACAAUUAGGGAAUAUGUGAGUGAUGUUUUAUUUUUUAUACAUUGCCUUAUUAUGCAUUUCCAGUCAUGAUCUCCUAGUGUAAUUGCAUUUAAAUUGUGUUCUUAACCAUAUGUUAAUUAAAUAAACUCAAUGUAAGGACCCAAUCUAACUUUCCUGAGUAAUGUGGAGUUAAUAAAAACUGCAGCUCAUUGGAAUCUAGAGUAUUACAGGAUCUUUGCAUACCUAGCUCUGACAAAGCAUAGGAUCAGUGACCUCAAGAACAGAUUAAUAGAAUUUACCAAAUAGAUAAAUAGAAUUUACCAAACUUGAAAAACAGAGAGUAAAACAUAGGCUUAGUGAAGAAGUGGGUAGGAACUCAGGAACCUGUGGAACAAAAAAUAAAAAGCUAACAUCCAAAGAUAACCUUUAAUACCCCGCUGCCACUGUAUCCGAUGCUGUCAGAGGCCCACCUACAUCUCCCCCUACACUCAGCAUUUCAGUGCAUACUGAUAGAAUUGUGCUGUCACCUGCAAAUACCUCUUUAGGGCAGGCCAGAAGUGUGCAGGAGAUAACAUAUCUGGUUGAAACUUUCAAUCCAUGACAGAGGGGAUAUGGGAUAUAAAUACUUCGACUUUCUCACCCACUGGUGGGGAUAACCCUGAGGAAUGUUCUUCAGGGUUCCACAGGACUCCUCUGAGGGACUUGUAACAGUUCCCCCCAAGAGUAACCUGUUCAGUGCUGUGCCUCUCUUGGCUUUCUUUCAUGCCUCUAUUCUCAAUUCCCACUCUACUCCUGAGUUUCCUUGCUCACUUUCCAGGAACAGUUUGAAUUCAAAUUCUUCUCUCAGGCUCUGCUUCUGAGGGAAAUCAGUCUAAGACAAUCCCAAAUCACUUCUAGUCUCCUAAUAGGCCAAUGUUCCUUUCAGGGUCAUCACUGGUACAGAUGCUGAGGGCUGGCUCAUUGUCUGUCGCUCCUAGAUUCUAACGUUCUCAAACAG
rnacentral:lncRNA from 1 species